GCGAGAGGACGCUCCCACCUGCUGGCGCGCCGCGCUCGCCUCUGUCUCUUCCCCGCCCCCACCCCACGCCCGGUCAUCCCGCGCGCACGCGCCCCCGGCUGCCCUCGCGUCUUGGCGCCCGCAACCCCGCGCGUGAGUCUUCGGUCGGUGGAGCGCACGGGAACAGCAGGCGUCAAGGGGGGUCGGGGAGGCGCUCGCUUUCUCCCUUCUCUCCUAGUGAGGGCGGUUCGGCGUUCUUUUCCCUCCUCACAGUGUCAGUCGGAACCAGAAGGAAAGCAUAACAGCUUCAGAAAUAUCGCUGUCUUUGAGGAGAGCCGAGAAUGAGAUGGGAAAAGUCUUCAACUAGCUGCCUAAAGUUUAUCUCAUGAGGAAUCCACUGAAGGACUUCUUGGGGAAGAGAGUGAGAGUCAAGAUGUCCAGAAACCAGGAAAUGGGCUUCCCCUCCUGAUGCAGAAGGCAGAUGAACACAGUGAAGAUGCCUGAUGGGCAAAGAAGUCACCCAUGCAAUGAAAGGAACACCCAGCUUGUAGUAAUGAGCUGCUGCUGCUUCACUGCUCACUGCGUGUCACAUGUUAUCUGCGAUGCUUUACACAGGGCCCCUCCUUACCUUUUCAACCAUUCUAGAAGGUAAGAAAGUUGUGUUUUACAAAGUAACUUGCCAACGUGGCUGUUGGUGACAGAGCUGAAAGCCUGCCUGCCUGAUGCAAAGGACUAUGCCGCCAGCUGCUGUGACCCAUGCACGGGGAGACCACCUGAGGUACCAAGUACAAGGUUGAGAAACUGGUAGUUCCAGGUUAUCUUCACUGUGUCUGAUGAUAUACCAUACGGAAGGACAGAUCUUAGAACUGGAAGGUGACCUGACAUGAUCAUAUACUCCAGUCUAUCUUCAUGAUUAAGAAACCAAAAUCAAAAGAGAUCUGGAAACUCACCCAAGGGUGUAUGACUUGGAAAGGCAAAUCUCGGCUCUCCUUAUGUGAACAGUGUUCCUUCCACUAUAACCAAGCUAAUUUCACAAGUGAACAAGAAAAACAGUGGCCGCCCUAAGGAGCUCCAUCAGAGCAGCUGCUUCGGUACAGAGCGGGCAACAAGACUUCUCAAACUGUUAUGUACAGAGCUCUAUCCAUGGAGAGGCCUGCCAGGCUGCUCAGUAGCUCAGUUUCUACCCCAUCUCAAGACUACUCUGCUUGUAUCUGCUUCGGAUAUUAGGUCCGUAUAUAAGAUUUCCUGUGGGGAGGUCGGUGGGGUUGAUCUGCUUCUAUAAUCCAAUGGAAAAGCAAUCUGCUGCUAAAAUAAAAUGGAAAAGCA